ensembl:lncRNA
CUGUUAAGGUGUUGAUUUACCCAUGUAUAAAACAAAAAGUCACAACUCUAAUAAGAGUUUUUGGAUGGGAAAAUUAUUGUAUAAUUUCCUACAAUCUUUUCAUAUCAUCAAGUUCUCACAGUGUGGGGAAAGAACAAGGGUUCAGCUGGAGAGUGUUUGCGGUGAGAUUAAAACUCAAGUUCUGAAGAACAUUUUGAAGAAGCCAGAGGCAAAUGCCUGUUGAGAGCAGCUGUGAAGAAGAUACGAACCUAGAAACACGACCAGCUGCUUCCUGCUGCCGUCUGCUGGAAACACACCUUCAUUCAUCUGCGAAGAGAACUGAGUCUGAAAGACAACUGCCUAAGGGAGGUAAAGAAAGUGUUUUGACCAAAGACCAAGAAAUUUCUUUUUGUACUAAUACUACUGUAAUGAAAUGUGUCCAAUUUAUUUAUGUACAGUAAUCAACAGUAUACUGUAUUAUGUUACAUUCCUGUUUGAUAUUUAGUUCUUUUGUAUUUUUUUAACCUUACUUCUCUUAUAUGUUCAUCUACUGUAAGAUCACUUAGUGUAAUGAAAAUUGAUGUUUCAUAAAGCUUAUUGUUGUAUUUUAUUCUUUCUGCAUUUUUCAUUUAUGUUGUAUACUAAAAUAUUGAGCUGCCAAAUAAUUCC